rnacentral:rRNA from 1 species
AGUAACUGCGAGUGAAGCGGGAAGAGCUCAAAUUUAAAAUCUGGUGGUCUUUGGCCAUCCGAAUUGUAGUCUGGAGAAGUGCUUUCCGUGCUGGACCGUGUACAAGUCCCUUGGAACAGGGCGUCAUAGAGGGUGAGAAUCCCGUCUUUGACACGGACUACCAGUGCUUUGUGAUGCGCUCUCAAAGAGUCGAGUUGUUUGGGAAUGCAGCUCAAAAUGGGUGGUAAAUUCCAUCUAAAGCUAAAUAUUGGCGAGAGACCGAUAGCGAACAAGUACCGUGAGGGAAAGAUGAAAAGCACUUUGGAAAGAGAGUUAAACAGUACGUGAAAUUGCUAAAAGGGAAACACUUGAAGUCAGUCGCGUUGUCCGGAACUCAGCCUUGCUUUGGCUUGGUGCACUUUCUGGUUGACGGGCCAGCAUCAAUUUUGAUUGUUGGAUAAAGGCUUGGGGAAUGUGGCAUCUUCGGGUGUGUUAUAGCCCCUUGUCACAUACAACAGUUGGGAUUGAGGAACUCAGCACACCUUUAUGGUCGGGGUUCGCCCACGCUUGUGCUUAGGAUGCUGGCGUAAUGGCUUUAAAUGACCCGUCUUGAAACACGGACCAAGGAGUCUAACAUGCCCGCGAGUGUUUGGGUGGAAAACCCGAGCGCGCAAUGAAAGUGAAAGUUGAGACCCCUGUCGUGGGGGGCAUCGACGCCCGGACCAUAACUUCUGUGACGGAGCCGCGGCAGAGCGUGUAUG